GAUGAACGCUAGCGGCAGGCCUAACGCAUGCAAGUCGAGGGGUAACAUAGAAAAGCUUGCUUUUCUGAUGACGACCGGCGCACGGGUGCGUAACGCGUAUACAACCUACCUUUUAGCGGGGAAUAGCCCAGGGAAACUUGGAUUAAUGCCCCAUAGUAUAUAGACUUCUCCUGAAGUUUAUAUUAAACAUUUAUGGCUAUUAGAUGGGUAUGCGUCCUAUUAGUUAGUUGGUAAGGUAACGGCUUACCAAGGCAGCGAUAGGUAGGGGUCCUGAGAGGGAGAUCCCCACACUGGUACUGAGACACGGACCAGACUCCUACGGGAGGCAGCAGUGAGGAAUAUUGGACAAUGGGCGAGAGCCUGAUCCAGCCAUGCCGCGUGCAGGAAGACUGCCCUAUGGGUUGUAAACUGCUUUUACAGAGGAAGAACCACCCCCACGUGUGGGGGUUUGACGGUACUCUGCGAAUAAGGAUCGGCUAACUCCGUG
rnacentral:rRNA from 1 species